CUAGGAGAAGCCACUCUUCCUGCUGAGCAUUAUCUGCAUAAAUGACAUUGUGGCUUUCAGCGCUAUAGUGUUGUUGUUUGCCUCACUGAGUUGGCACAUUCAUUUUAGCUGUGAAUUCAGCGCACUUUUCAUUACAUCCAUCACUGCAAGCGUUUUUAUUGAUUGUUUUUGAGGGAUAAAUUCGAUCAUAUAUCGGUCAUCCAUUCUUUUAUGUUCUUCCGACCUUGUUGAUAAUGAGCCCCUGAUGAAGUCCAGUUGGACGAAAUGUGUUGGGUUUUGGUUCGGAUAUGAGAGCAUCGGAUAUGUAUUGAUUGAGAGCAUCUUUGGAUUAACAAACUGUCCGCAUUAUAUUGUUUUAUAUCUGAUGUCUGUAUUUUAAAUAUGUCAGCCAUAUGUUAUUCAAUGUGAUUCACUGUCUAACACUUUUAUACAAAUAAAUUGGAGUUUUUUAAGUGAACUGUGGUCAAAUCCUGGAAGAUAAUACCUUGAUUAAGCUCCCUUAAGACACCGCCUUUUCUUUUAUCUGCACUUUUGUACUCCAUCUAACAGGGAGUACGCCUUGAGGUUGAGCUCCAUACUUAGCACUUUUAUUAGGUCUA